AGAGUUUGAUCAUGGCUCAGAGUGAACGCUGGCGGCAUGCCUAACACAUGCAAGUCGAACGAGAACGGAUCUAGCUUGCUAGAUUGUCAGCUAAGUGGCGCACGGGUGAGUAAUAUAUAGUUAAUCUGCCCCAAAGAAGAGAAUAAUUGUUGGAAACGACUUGUAAUGCUCUAUAUGCCUUUAUCACAUAAGUGAGCAAGGGAAAUAUUUAUAGCUUUGGGAUGAGACUGUACGGUAUCAGCUUGUUGGUGAGGUAAUGGCUCACCAAGGCUAUGACAUCUAACUGGUUUGAGAGGAUGGUCAGUCACACUGGAACUGAGACACGGUCCAGACUCCUACGGGAGGCAGCAGUGGGGAAUAUUGCACAAUGGACGAAAGUCUGAUGCAGCAACGCCGCGUGGAGGAUGACACAUUUCGGUGCGUAAACUCCUUUUAUUAGGGAAGAUAAUGACGGUACCUAAUGAAUAAGCACCGGCUAACUCCGUGCCAGCAGCCGCGGUAAUACGGGGGGUGCAAGCGUUACUCGGAAUCACUGGGCGUAAAGAGCAUGUAGGCUGAUUAGUAAGUUGGAAGUGAAAUCCUAUGGCUCAA
rnacentral:rRNA from 1 species